CCUUUCUGCCCUUCGGGGCACAGUGGGGGUCUAUACUUGUAUAGCCUCCAUCUGCAUCCUUGUCUUUUGCGUACUACAUGUUUCCUCGGCGGGCUUGCCCGCCGGUUGGACCAUUAUAAACUCUUUGCAAUUGCAAUCAGCGUCUGAAUAAUUUUAAUAAUUA
rnacentral:misc_RNA from 1 species